AAGUUGUAACAAGGUUUCCGUAGGUGAACCUGCGGAAGGAUCAUUACUGCUUGCUUAUAGCCGCUUAGGUAGAGAGACCCCCUUCGCGGUACAGCAACACACCCUUGUCUAUGUAUACCAUUUGUUAUUUCCCUUGGCGGGGCAACCUGCCGCUGGGGACACUAAAACCUCUUGUAUUAAGCAUUAAAACUUCUGAAACAAACCUAAAUUAUUACAACUUUUAAUAAUGGAUCUCUUAGUUCUA
rnacentral:misc_RNA from 1 species